rnacentral:rRNA from 1 species
GACGAACGCUGGCGGCGUGCCUAAUACAUGCAAGUCGAACGAGAGCGACCGGUGCUUGCACUGGUCAAUCUAGUGGCGAACGGGUGAGUAACACGUGGGUAACCUUCCCAUCAGAGGGGGAUAACAUCCGGAAACGGAUGCUAAAACCGCAUAGGUCUUCGAACCGCAUGGUUUGAAGAGGAAAAGAGGCGCAAGCUUCUGCUGAUGGAUGGACCCGCGGUGCAUUAGCUAGUUGGUGAGGUAACGGCUCACCAAGGCCGUGAUGCAUAGCCGACCUGAGAGGGUGAUCGGCCACAUUGGGACUGAGACACGGCCCAAACUCCUACGGGAGGCAGCAGUAGGGAAUCUUCCGCAAUGGACGCAAGUCUGACGGAGCAACGCCGCGUGAGUGAAGAAGGUUUUCGGAUCGUAAAACUCUGUUGUUAGAGAAGAACAAGUGCUAGAGUAACUGUUAGCGCCUUGACGGUAUCUAACCAGAAAGCCACGGCUAACUACGUG